UUGGACGACGAACCCCCGCCUCCGCGGUCUGGUAGCCUCGUCGUCGGCUUUUGGACGACGAACCCUACGUCUUCGCGGUCGGGUAGCCUCGUCUUCGGCUUUUGGACAACUACCCCUCUUCGGGCACUCAUCGGCUUUUGGAAGACGACCCCUCCGUCUCCACGCAGAGGGAACGCAAUUUGUUUGGAAGGGCACAAGGAAAAGUUAUUUGCCUGAGCGUUUCCAGUUUGGAGCUAUCUGAAUUCAAUCAAACCGAAAGGUUUGCUGCCAUAUCCCAGUCCAGGGCUAGCUUGCUCUGCAUCCUUGCAAGUUCUCUCUAGGAAUUGACUUACAAUGGAUCACCCACUUCCGAGUUAUUGGAACCAGAUUGUGUUUGGCUUUCGAGACAGUGUUGUUAUUAUUGGUGACAUGCAAGGAACAGGAUUUUUGAUAGGCUCCAAAGACAGAAGACGUCUUAUCUUGACAUGCUGCCAUGUCGUAGCGGGUAGUGCUUAUAAAGCUAAAUUGCGAGAUGAAUAUUUGGUCCAAGUUUGCAUUACUGGAUAUGGUUUGUGUUCUGGCCAGAUACUACUUGCUGACGAUGAGAGAGAUGUGGCAUUAAUUGUGGUUACUACAGAUUGUGAUGGUCUUCCAAUGAUUGAACUACCUAAUUUGGAAUUAUCUGAUCGGGUUGUCAAGAAGGAUAUGGAAUUAGUCAUGUUGGGUUAUAUUUUCAUGCCUAAGGGUGUAAUUAAAGAACCAGGAACUUCUUACGGCAAAUCAAAGGCCAGCAUGUAUCACAAUUCUUUAGUGGGGUGUGAUAUAUUGCCGGUGUCAUAUGUAUCAACCCCCGGGACUUCGGGAGCACCUGUUUUCCUUGUUCAGAAAGGAAGUAGUCCAGAGGUAAUAGGAAUGCAUGCUGGAAGAGUGCAGGGCACUCAAUAUUGUAUUCCAAUGCCAGUGAUAGAAGAAAGUUUGCGCCAGUUGAGUACAAAGAAGGGCCUCUCAAUUCCUGAAAUGAUUGAGAAGAUCCUUUCAGCAGUGUGUCGAAGGAAGUAGGAAUUGCUCAUACACUUAUUAAAGUGGGACCAAAUGGACAGACCUUGUUGCUGAUGCGGAGAGACGUAAAUGUAUUUUCAGUGCCACUAAUGACGCAACCAUCUGUAAGUUGGUGUUGCAAGUAAGCAAGAGCUUGAUGAACUUGAGGAUCUUAAUGCUGAUUCAGGGGUUUUCAGCAAUACCAGAUGGAAGGUCAUUCUUAGCGACGAGUUUAGAAAGUCUUUCACCAAACUAAAAUCACCACAGCUCAGGAAGGAAGUACUCCAAAAGCUUAUCAAACUUGAAGAUGAUUGGAGGAGAACAGUUAAGAACCUUGAGAUGCCUGGUGCUUCUCAUCUUGCGAAAGUAUACACGGUCUGGGACCUGUAUCUUGUUUGGACUACUGACGUGAAGAAAACCGAAAGAACGUAUUCCCAGAUAAUAAGAAUUUGGGACCUAUUGUCACAGCAGAAUGUUGCAAGAACUGUUCAACGUCUCGAGAAUCUGUUCUCCAUGUACACGGAUGAUUACCUGGAUCAUUGCAAGAGAGUGGAGACACAGGGGAAACUGGAGGUUCCUAUGGUUUUGGUCUUUGGGAUGUUGUGCAUGAUAUUAUCCGCUAUAACAUGGAUUGCAAAGUUGAUUCUUAUGAAGAGCAUGAUCUCGUGGACACAUCAUAUGCUAUGAAGAAUCCAAAAGUUAGUGAAAGCUUCCUGCUGAUGAAAUUCUACUCUUUAUCAUCUGGGACGGCAAAGCAUUUGUGACAGCUACUAAUGGGUCUGAAAUUGACAUCCCCUUUGAACAGACUGAUGAAGGGCAGGUAUGGUCUACAUGCAAAAUGGUACUUCUAAAAUUGAGGAAGCUGGUGACUGUUUUGCUAGGGCUGAGUGCUGGUCGGAGACAGCUGAAAUAUUCUUUAAAGCUAAAUGUUACACCAAGUGUUUCUCCAUGUGCUCGAAUGGAAAACAAUUAUACAAUCUGGGCUUGCAGUUUCUGCAACAGUUAAGAGGAGGAACAUUCACUUGAGAAUUCAACAUCCUUGGAGGUUUCUGCAAUUAGAACGAAGUAUCUGGAAAAUUGCGCUCAGCAUUAUUUUGAGCGUGCUGACAUAAAGCAUAUGAUGCCCUUUGUUAAAGCUUUCAGCUCUAUGGAUCACGUUUAUAAAUUCUAGAAAUCUAUGUCAAGUUUAGAGAUGGAAAUGGGAAAUUUCCUAGAAGCUGUAGGAAUACCAAAGCAUAAAGGAGAUGUCUUAUUGGAGGUAGAUAUACCCGAGAAAGCAGAUUUGUUUGAGGACGCAACAUGGCUUCUCCAUAUCAUUGUGGAUUCCUUGUGGUCUUCAAAUAGUAGAGGAUGGCCUCCCAAAAGAUAUGCAGAGAAGGAGCAGUUGCUUGCAAAAGCCAAAGAGAUGGCAGAAAAGGUCUCUGAGUGCUUCUACUUACUGCUUUGUUUGCAUGGAAGCUGAUGCACUGUCAGAUGGGAAAAAGUCCCUUUCCAGUUUGAGUUGCACUUUGCUUGAGGGCAGAAAAUGUGCAAACUUGUUAGUUGGACUUGUUGCUUCCUGUUCGAUCCUUGAUGUUCAUCUUCAAUCUCGAGCCUCUGGAUACAAGAUAUAAUCAGGACCAGGAUCUGAAGAUGAAAAUAGCUGCAAUGACAUGCUGGCCUCUAACCAGAUGUCACCCCAAACUCUGUUUUGUGUCUGGAAUCACUGGAAGACGAUCAUAAUCAAAGUACUAUCUCAUCUUUGCCACACUGAUGGUCCAGAAUUAAAUGAUUAUGCAGUUGUUUAAGAAGAUCUUUGCGCCAAGUACUUUGGAUUGAGAAAAGAUGGUGAAGUUGACAGAUAUGUGGUGCUGAACAUGAAUGCAAGUUGGCUUUCCAAUGCUGACAGGAAUUCUUUGCAGCAAGACGGGAACAGAUGUUUAUUGGGUGCCCCUCAGUGUCGUUCAUGUGCUCAGUGUUUCUUGAUGAAUGAGCUGUCUUCUGUUGGUUUCAGUGUACUUAAGAAGUUGGAGUCGAUUGUUCAAAUUUCUCCAAAGCCGGCAUCUUCGCAUACCCUGGUGAGAACUAUCCUUAUCAUACAUGAGAUAGCAAAGUUUUUUGAAGAACCAGAGUUCAGUAUGCCAAAAGGUUCCAUGAAGUUAAGAAGCUUUUUUGUUCUCUGUGGGCAUUGAUUCUUUGAGUUAGUUUUUCUUGUGUGGAGAGAUGGGACAAUGAGGAGCCUCUUGCAUCUACUUGACUCGCCAGCUGCAUAUGGAUUGGUUGCUGAUUCUCUUGGUGCAGAUCUUCACCCAGCAAAUAAAAAUUGACUCAUGGGCAUCUUGGGAGAACAACCAUGCUUCUGCUUCAUGCAGCACAAUUGGACGAAGUGCUACUUUCAAGACUACUACAGUACCUGGGCAAUAAUUCUAAGUGGGCAGAUUUUUUUUGAUAUUUCAAGAUAUUUCUUGACAGUGGUCGGGAUAGAUCCUCCUUGAUCUUCAACUUUAAGCUUGCUCGAGUGUACCUUCAGUGUAAAGUGGAAGGAUGAACUGGACUACAUAUCCCCACCAUGCUAUGUGGGACUGUGGGUCUUAUGGAGUGCCUUGGUUUCUUGGCUUCAUCAUGCUUACUACAGAAUGAUUUUAUAUGCUGCACGAAAUCUCUGUUGGUCAAUAUGCUGGAAUGCCGUACCAGCAAGGCUUUACACUGACACCUGCCUGGUAUCUAAGUCAUGCUCAGAUUCCAAUCUUGAUGGUUUGGCACACUCAUCAGGCCGUUUCAUAUAUGAGACGAUUUGCGACCAUCUUGAUGGCCAAGCAUAUGCUCCAGGAAUGGGUACAUAGGACUUCAUGUCCUUCCAGUACUUCAUACAAAGCAGUCCUCCUGUGACUAGUUGUUACACUUUACCUUCUGAUCCUUACUCUUUCUCUGGGGAAGUGCUAUGAGGUCACACAUAACCUUGUGAGGAAUGAAAUCUUUAAGGAUUUACCUUUGGACUUCUCUAAGAAGAUUGAAGAUGCUUUGAAAAUGAGGUCUCGCACACCUAGCAACUUCACAAGAGUGCUUGCUGAUGCACUUGCCGCAAUCGGAGAUCGUAUGGUAGUUAUUGGUUCACCCGAAGCCCCAGUAAUCUGUCGAAACUUGAAUCCUUGUAUGAUUAGCAAGGAGGAUUUGCAUGAUGUUCCGAAGAUAAUGGCUCUUUGUGUCUUGAAGAAUCAAAUUCUGUAAAGCAAGAUACUCCAUUGCCACAACAAACUGAUGGUAGCAAGUGUCUUGAAGAACCAAGUUCUGUAAAGCAAGAGACUCCAUUUCCUGAAAAAUCUGAUGGUAGCAAGUUCAAAAAUGUUAUUUCUGGAAACAUUCUUGUGACGGUAGAGAUAGUAAAGAUAUGGAUCAGUCCGAGAAAGAGAAGUUCAACCGAUGUCCUUGUGCCUGUAUAGAGGUAUUAAAAGGUAGAGGGUUCGAGCAAGACAGAUUCAACUGGUAUCUUUGACACUCUCUGGAAGAAGCUUGAGACUUUUCUACUCGAUGAGCAAGACCAGAAAGAUGCAAGGGCUGUCUUUCAAUUUCUUAGAGACGCCCUUCCAUGGCUGGAGCAAACAGGCGUUCUAGCAUAGAUUGAUAAAGAACUUGAUGAACACAUUCUGGAAGAGGUCAAGCACAUCUGCAGUGAGUUUGAAAAACUCUCCGACAGGAUGGACAAAAAAGAUGUGGAUGACCUAUACACAAAGUGGGAAGGUGCUGGGAAGACACUGCAGCCGGUCAUCCGCCUUGUGAGUGGUACAGGAAUAUGCAUGAAUGAUUGUAGUGAAUGCAGGAAGUGAAGGUGCAAGGAAAAGGAGAAAGACCCCAGGUACCCAUCCUCUGCAUUCUGAAGGUGCCCACAGCCAGUUUAUACAAAACUUGUCCAGAUGAUGAGCGAGCUGACACGGGAGAAGCUGCCUCGACUUCAACAAAGGUGGCGCAGAAGCAGAAAGCAAGAAGAAAUCCAAGGAAACAAAGAAGUCUGACAAGGGCCGUGGCAAGAAAUGAGCUGCUGUAGUUACUUUCCCGCCUUCAAAGAAUAUUUGCGUGCACCGGAGAAGCUUGUACGUAAAACCAUUGGAUAAGACAGCAGAAAUGUGUUGCUUCGUGUCUGAUCAGGGAAUGCAACUUUUGAACCGGCACAAGACAGAUGCACCCAUGCAUCACGGUGAAGUUCCCGCUAAAUUAUUUAUGAUGAUUGAAUGUGCUUACGAAAGUGUUGGGGCCUUUUUGUUGUUGGCCUGUGGAGUAGCCUCCUAUGCGUUAUGGCACCACUUUUGAAUAUCCACACCUGUUGCACCGGAAUAGAGACCAUCAU